UGGGUAGGUCGAUUGGAACAAGAAGAAAGAAGGGAAACCCUCUAAACUCAGCAAAUUAGUAAAUUGAAAGGGGGAAUCAAGGCCUGAUUUUAUGCAUGAACACUAAUUCUUGACCAUCUAAGAAUUCUCUACAUAAGGAUCAAAGAAGAAAGUUCAAGUCGCACCGGAUCGCAAACAAACAACGACAAAGGUAAAUCCCAUUGUUAAGGGCGCUACUUGGAUCGAACACACUCAUGAUGCACGCUUCCACGAAGAUAUUAGUUUGGGUUAAAACUUUUGUUAAAUGUACUUUUUGUUAAACGGGUCUUUUUGUAAGUAAUAUGACUCGGUUGUCCUUAGUUGAUGAACUCGUAGUCGAAAACUAUACUAGUUGUUUAUGAAAUAUUGGGAUGUAAACUACUUUGGUAA